AGAGGGCGGAGGGAGGGAGAGGCGGAGAGGGGGGGGUCUGCAGAGGGAACGGAGCGGGAUGAGGAGCUCCUCCUCCUCCUUUCUCCUCGUUCUUCCCGCCCACAGAGUGGGAGGAAGGUGGCGAAGGGCCGAACUCCGAGUGGGGACUAUUUUCUCCAGCGGAAGGAUCCCAGAGUCUCUCACGCGGAGGGAGCGAUGCGUCCACGUAGUUCCGGCGGAGGCGUUUGGCGCCAACUAUAAAAGGGCGACGGAGGCGGAGAUGUUUCUGUGAGGGGUGGGCUGCCCUUGGUGGUGUGUGUCUCCGUUGUGGGCAUCUCUGUGUCCAUAAGGGUUCGGUUUUUCUGCCUGCUGGAGGUGCCCUGUGUGCUGUUCUCCGUUAACUGCCCCCGGAGCCCGGGGAGGCCUCGUUGAGUUUUUACACGGUCUGAUAGCGAUAGGGUGAGAGGGAAUGGCCUUAAAGUAAGGAGAGAGUGAGGUGAGGUGUUAAGAAGAAAUGCUUUCCCUGGGGGAGGGAGCAGUGCCUGGAGCUGUGGGUGCCCCAUCCCUGGUCAUCUCCAACACAACCAUUGUGUGGUUCUCAUUUAUCCCUUUUAACCCAAUCUGUCCUAAAGUAUGGUAACACCAGGCAAAAAAAUGACUAAGGAAGACAGAUGAUGAGGCCCAGAGCUGUUACCAGACCUCAGCACUGGGGUCACAAAUGCAGGGUGUUGCUCUAUAAUGAUUUUUUCUUUUACCACUAAACUAUCUUGCUGUUGGCCACAGCGAUGCUUCCGUGUGUCCCUGUCCUGUCUCCUCCACCCCCACCCAACCCUUCCUCAUCUGUUACAUGCUCAUGUCAGUUCCUCUCUGCGUUUCCAGGUGAAGCAAGGUGUUGUUUAUGUAUUUUUAACCUGAAAUAAUCAUUUAAAAUUGAAGUGAGCACAGGAUCUGAAUCCUGGAGGGGAUCUGGGAAUGCGUUUGGCUUUGGGGGGGGGAUAAAAAGUGUUACAGAGCAAAGUGUUCCAAUGGGAACGAACCCACAGAGCUGCUCUAGUGGGAACAGACAAAGCCCAAAGUCUGGGAGGGAAUGGUGGUAAUCCAUCAGGUUACAGAUCUAGAUCUCCCACCCUUAAACCCUCCAGGUAACAGCACGGGGCGGGAGGUCACAGCCUUUGUGAAGGUUCUUUGUGUUUUCCCCAUUGUUCCCAACCCGUGAGAAGAAAGAUGAUGUUAUGUAGAGCUGAAGGAAUAGAGGCUGAGCAGCGCCUGGCAUCCAGAAGCGCCCUGGAUGCCCCUGCACCGAGCUGCCACACGGGAGAGGAUCAAACCCUGAUGCAACGCUCACACGGGAGGACAUUCAGCCUUUAUUAACGGUUGUGAAAGGCAGCACAGGAAAGCAGCAGUGACAGACUGCCAGGUACAGCAACUGCGUACAGUCUGGGGCUUUGGCAGAAACCAGGACACUUGGAAAUACUGAAGGAAAAAACCAAACCCGAAAUAGACUUCUGUGGGGGUGGUGGGCAAAUACAGCGGGUAGAGGCCAAAAACAUCGGUUUGUGGAGGAAAACGGGGUGAUACCUGUACUUUUAACUUGUUUUUCUUUCUCUCAGGCAGGGUUAAGACAGAACUGCGUGUCGGUCCGAUGCUGGCGCUCCGGCGGAUGGACGCGCCGUGGGUGCUGUCAGGACCAGAGCACCAAGGAGUAAAGCCGGGCCGAGGAGGAAGCGGGUGGAUGCCAUCCCCCUGAGGACAGCCCGGCUCCGCUCACCCCGCUGCGUUCCCAGGAGGAAUGAAGGAGGUGAGGCGAUGCCGGAGCCCACUGCCCCCCAGCAGCAGGGCCGGGGUGAGCGCAGGCUUCGUUAGCAGUGCCCGGGGGCUUUAAAAAAAAAAAAAAAAAA